AUUGAACGCUGGCGGCAUGCUUUACACAUGCCAGUCGAACGGUAACAGGCCGCAAGGUGCUGACGAGUGGCGAACGGGUGAGUAAUGCAUCGGAACGUGCCCAGUCGUGGGGGAUAACGCAGCGAAAGCUGUGCUAAUACCGCAUACGAUCUAUGGAUGAAAGCGGGGGACCGUAAGGCCUCGCGCGAUUGGAGCGGCCGGUGUCAGAUUAGGUAGUUGGUGGGGUAAAGGCCCACCAAGCCAACGAUCUGUAGCUGGUCUGUGAGGACGACCCGCCACACUGUGUCUGGGACACGGCCCAGACGGCUACGGGAGGCAGCGGUUGGGAAUUUUUGACAAUGGGCGCAAGCCUGUUCCAGCAAUGCGGCGUGCAGGAAGAAGUCCUUCGGGUUGUAAACUGCUUUUGUACGGAACGAAACCGUCUGGGUUAAUACCUCGGGCUGAUUACGGUACCGUAAGAAUAAGCACCGGCUAACUACGUGCCAGCCGCCGCGGUAAUAC
rnacentral:rRNA from 1 species